rnacentral:tRNA from 1 species
UAUUUUCUUCUUCUCAGUGUAAGUGAAAUGCUUUAAGCUUCCUUUACUUUCCCUUAGUGAACU